UACGAAGGGGGCUAGCGUUGUUCGGAAUUACUGGGCGUAAAGCGCACGUAGGCGGAUUGUUAAGUGAGGGGUGAAAUCCCAGGGCUCAACCCUGGAACUGCCUUUCAUACUGGCAAUCUCGAGUCCGAGAGAGGUGAGUGGAAUUCCGAGUGUAGAGGUGAAGUUCGUAGAUAUUCGGAGGAACACCAGUGGCGAAGGCGGCUCACUGGCUCGGUACUGACGCUGAGGUGCGAAAGCGUGGGGAGCAAACAGG
rnacentral:rRNA from 1 species